CCUACGGGUGGCAGCAGUGAGGAAUAUUGGUCAAUGGACGAGAGUCUGAACCAGCCAAGUAGCGUGAAGGAUGACUGCCCUAUGGGUUGUAAACUUCUUUUAUAUGGGAAUAAAAUGUUCCACGUGUGGGAUUUUGUAUGUACCAUAUGAAUAAGGAUCGGCUAACUCCGUGCCAGCAGCCGCGGUAAUACGGAGGAUCCGAGCGUUAUCCGGAUUUAUUGGGUUUAAAGGGUGCGUAGGUGGAUUGUUAAGUCAGUUGUGAAAUUUUGCGGCUCAACCGUAAAAUUGCAGUUGAAACUGGCAGUCUUGAGAACAGUAGAGGUAGGCGGAAUGCGUGGUGUAGCGGUGAAAUGCUUAGAUAUCACGAAGAACUCCGAUUGCGAAGGCAGCUCACUGGACUGCAACUGACACUGAGGCUCGAAAGUGUGGGUAUCAAACAGGAUUAGAUACCCUAGUAGUC
rnacentral:rRNA from 1 species